CUCUUAUCCUUAACAAGAUUAUUGACAACCGACCAAUCUGGUUCUAUUUAUACUUGCAAACUUAAACAUAAAUAUGGUAUUUAAAAUCCGAACUUGCAAUUUAAGGGAGUACACUAAAAACAAAUCUCUGUCAAAAAGGAAAUUCUCAAGAAAAAAGGGCUGAAACUGAAGAAAGCUGGAAACUUUGAGGUUGGAGAAUAUAUUAAGAGGAAAAAGAGAAGAAAAAUUGAGUAUACUGAAGCUCCCACGUCGUAGAUAACUGCAUCCCAUGACGUGGCAUUUGGAAUCUUCUCGAUGCGUGAAUGGAAUAGCUUCUCACGAUGUGAAAAUCUAUUGGUCACGACGUGACGACGUGUUAAUUAUAGAGCAUCUCCAGCAUGCAUGGAAGCCUUGGCGCAUACAAGAUUAUUAUGUUUCUCACGACGUGGAACUUAUAUUGUCACUACGUGAAAGCUGAACGAGGGCACAUAUAAAUAACGACUUCUAGGUCGAAAUCAGGAGACUUUUGGCUUUAGAGUCGCGAUUGAAAACUGAGUACAACCCUUCUAAGAACCCUUGGAUGGAAAAAGAAGAUUAAAGAUAAAGAGUUUAAGAGAUUAGAGCAAGAAUACUACAUAAUCCAUUCGGUUUGCCUAGAUUUAAUCAUGUUUAACCUAGCUUUCUACUUGAUUGUGUGUUUUUCUUCUGUAAUUAUGGGCUAACACCCUUUAAUGGUCAUUUAGAUUAGAUAAUCCCUAAUAAUAUGUGUUAGUUUCUUUGUUCA